UGGAGAGAUUGAGAGAGGGUCAGGACUUUACAGAAAAUGAUCUUCAUCCAAUAUGCAAGUAUGCAGACGGCAUAUGUAAACCAUGUAUUCACUGAGUUAAUGUGAUUCAGCCCUGUGACUCCUGGAGAAGGUCAAACUGAAGGAAUGCUGCAGCACCAGAAGGACUUGGAUAUUUUUCUUAGUACAGACAGAGAGACGGAUUUCUCCAUUAAAUAGGAUGGUUAGGAUGGUUGGGACGUGCCAUUAUAGCAAUAUCCAUAUUCAAAUAUCCCUGGCUGUGCUUAAGAUACCAGUUACUUGCUCGUAUCAUGAAUUAUGCUUGUGUAGUUGGAACUGUUGUUUAAAUAGUUAGAGAUCUUGGGCACCACGCUGAAAAAAUCUGGUGAGGAUGGCAUUUUUACAUAGAUCAAAACAACAAAAACAAAGAGGACUGGUACUGUUCACAGGACAGACCUGCGUGCUGAGACUCCCACUACGGAGAAGAAACACAAACUGUGUGUUCCACUGGCAAACCAACGUCAGUGCUUUAAAAGGGCUACAAGGAACUGAAGGGAACUAAAGGGACAACAUUUUAAGUGUGUGUGUGUGUUUACAGUGUAAUGCAGGGUGAUGUUCAUUAUAACAUGGCUUUGUUUUGAAAUGUGAAUGAAAUUUGUUAAAAGUUGAGUUCAGCUUGAUGGGCACACAGGCGUUGUGUCCAGCACGGUGGAGAGAGCUAAGCCCCGAGAACAAAUUAGUCAGUAAUGAGUUGAGUGGACACACAGACAUAAGUCGUCUGUCUCUGUGCGCUCAACACACUGACAUGUGGCGCAUUCAAUUUAACUAAUCUGAGGAUUAUGCGACACUCUGAGUCCUGGCUGUGUUUUCAACACGCACAAAACGCUCUGUGGGGGAACGACUAGUCACAUUAACAUUAAUCAUUCAGCUGUGUGAGUCUGUAUACAAAAAUAAAUCAUUAGCUAUUUA